AAGUUACAUCUGUCAACACAGAAAAUUGCAUCUCAACAAACCUGUCUUUGGCAAGUACCUGAACUACAUUUCAGUCACUCAGUAAAGUGAUAACUCAAAAUAUCAUUGUCAACAGAUCUGAAGAAAUUGCCACUGCGUCUUUAGACCGUUUUCGUCAGACGAGAGACACAGUUCUGACUCUGAUUACUGGUUGCUGUACGUAUCUAUCCACAUCAAGGCUGUUUUUGAGAGAGACUCGUGAAGAUUCAAGACAGUUCUUAGAGGAUUUGCAGUUUAAAAGUGAAAUAAUUGUGAAAUAAGUGUGUGAAUGAUUAAACUGUGUUUUAUUGAAGUUGUUGUGCGAUUUUAAAGGAAUAAUAAAUGUCAA